UUACGGUCAUACCCCGUUGAAACACCGGUUAUCGUCCGAUCACCGAAGUUAAGCAAUGUUGAACCUAGAUGGGUGACCGCUAGGUAAAACCAUGUGCUGUAA